rnacentral:rRNA from 1 species
ACUCUGAACCAGCCAUGCCGCGUGCAGGAAGACGGCCCUAUGGGUUGUAAACUGCUUUUGCCAGGGAAUAAAUGCUUUUAUGUAUAAGAGUUUGAAUGUACCUGGAGAAUAAGGAUCGGCUAACUCCGUGCCAGCAGCCGCGGUAAUACGGAGGAUCCGAGCGUUAUCCGGAAUUAUUGGGUUUAAAGGGUGCGUAGGCGGCAUGCUAAGUCAGGGGUGAAAGACGGUGGCUCAACCAUCGCAGUGCCUUUGAUACUGGUGUGCUUGAAUGUACAUGAGGUAGGCGGAAUGAGACAAGUAGCGGUGAAAUGCAUAGAUAUGUCUCAGAACACCAAUUGCGAAGGCAGCUUACUAAGGUAUGAUUGACGCUGAUGCACGAAAGCGUGGGGAUCAAACAGGAUUAGAUACCCUGGUAGUCCACGCCCUAAACGAUGAUAACUCGAUGUUGGCGAUAUACAGUCAGCGUCCAAGCGAAAGCGUUAAGUUAUCCACCUG